ACAGGCAGCAUGUGAGUAAAAUUCAGGAUGAAGAGAUGAGCAGCAAUGAUCAAUGGAUGGGAUAAUCUCUUUCCACCUCAUUUCCUUUCUCUAGUAUGCUGGGUAUAUACAUGCAGAAAGUAUCAACCUUAAUCUGGAGAUGAUCUGAGCCUUUACAGGUGGCUGGAGCUCAGAGACACUCGCAUCAAGAGUUGAGAGGAGGGAGAGAACAAGAAGGCAUCCCUAUGGACCAAACAUGUGCAAAGAGAAUGCGGCACAGCAGUACACAGUUCAGCUGUGAAGGGAACAACAGCACUGCAGCCUCCUGGGGGUCCCUGGACUGCAGUUAGAAAACUCUUGAUAUAGGCAAAAACACUGCAAUAUUUUCCUCAUCCUCAAGGUGGAGUUGAGUCUGCCUGUAGCCCCGGACGGACAGCUUAACUCAAGCCUCCUUCCUGUCUACCAACUUACAAGAGCAGCAGUAACCAUGGUAACUCCUUCAGAACCCAGGGCAAACAUUUAUAGGGCAAUGGAUUUGCUUGAGAAAUACUCAAAAGAGCUAAAAUAGAACACGGCAGUCGGAGAGAAGCAUGUCUGUGCGUUUGCAGGACAGCAUGAUAAAAACAAAAGCAAUCAAGAGC